AUGGACACACCGGCGGUACCGCUGUCGCGUGAGCACCAUGGGGGACAAAGCGGAGAUGCGAUGCGCCGCGAGGAGCAGCUUAGGACCACGUUGCACUAUGAUGACAAGGAGAAGCUGCGCAGGAAGUUGGCCCUGUUGCAGAGGGAGUACCUCAGGACAGCUGAGAGACUGCAGCGGGCCGAGCGUCUGGACGCAGUGCGGAGACAUGUGAGGAGCAGGAUCGGUCGGCAGGACCAGGACCAGGACCAGAGAGACCCGGAGGAGACACCGGGUCCCCGUCUCAAGCCAUCACCAUGGGUACCGAACGCCACCAAUGGGACAGCACCACGCGCCGCUCCGUGCCCGGGACACGCGGGAGCAGUUUCCGAUGCCUCCAGGAAGAGCCCGGUGAUCCGCUUCCUGCUCCCCUCCGCUGCCGUCGGCCCGCAGACACCGGACCCCCGGCACGACACCGUCAGCGGUCACAGGCCGAGUCCCGCCCUGCGCCUCCGGUCUCGACGCAGCCGCCUGCGCUGGGAAAGGAGGAGCGCCGAGGCCGGCGGGAGCGCCGACGACCACAGCGAGGAACCCCGGGAGCGAUGUGGCAGGAUGGAGACUGAUGGGGCGGAAGGGUGCGAGGGCGGAGUCAGAGCGGGAGGUAACGAGGGGGAAGAGACGCGAGAACGACUAACGGAGACAGACGCCGAGCUCCCGCGUUGGACCGGAACGGGAGCCAGAAGGGAGACGGAGGAAGGAGGGAAGAGUAAAGAGGACCGGGACGGAAGGCUGUUUGAAGGCGGCAGCGAAAGAGACGCCGAACAAAUGGCAGCAGAGCUUAGAGAAAGAGAAAAGGGUGGCGAGAACGCGGCUGGGAUCAGAGAAGAGGAGAGCGAGCUGACUGGAGGAGAGCGUGACGGGAAGGGCGCCAGUCCCCGGGACUCUUGUACCUUACGAGAAGGACUACUUUACCCGGCGGAGUACUACGUCCGGACCACGAGACGGAUGACCCUUUCGCAGAGCCAGCCGGACACGCAGGCCGUCGUAUUCUCCCAGCUGAGCGCCGGACAGCAUCGGGCGGGCCGCGGCAGAGGCCCGACGCGCUUGGACCGCCGCACCGCCGCAUGUUCGUCCUCGCCGACGUCCGGCGAGCUCAACGGCCACAGCUCCAGAGAGACGCCCGACCCAAUCCCGUGGUGUGAAAUCGACGGCGACGCUCGCGUCCCCCCCCCCGAUCGCCGCCGCCGCCCGUCCGGCGAGAGGCAGGAGGACGAGAAGAGGUAG
ensembl:lncRNA